GAUGUCAGGGGCAAAAGGUCAUGCUUUUCAUGUUUUCAUGAAAAAGCAUGACAUUAAGACCCGUAAAAAUAUGAGAAAGCAGGCCGAUCGGCGGAUUCCGAAUGUUUUUAGGAUUGCGGGAGCGCAAAGUGCGGAGCGAUCCAUAGUAU
rnacentral:sRNA from 1 species